GGCGCGCACAACAGGCAUCAUCAAAUGUUGAAUUGUGAGCCGAAAUAGUCGGAAAGAAAGAGGCUGGGAUAGUCUGGGUAUGAAGGAGAAGGAAGAGAAAGAAGGAGCCUGAGCGGAAAAUCAGAAAGGCAGAGGAAGAAAAAUGGGAAAGUUUUACUCCUGGGCUGCUGUCUGGUGUUUAUACUAAGGACCAGAGCGAGAGACGGACCUGCUUAUCUCACAACAAUUCUGGCAACUCCGCCGGGACCAUCUCACUUGCCUGAGGGCUUCCCUGCAUGAGGCCGCCUGAAAUCUCGUCAGCCAGCACGGGAUCCUUUGCAUUCCAUAGGUGAGGAAUUUCUCGGCCUCACGGAGGGAGAAGCCUUCGAUGUCUGUGGUCCUCUGCUGCCCUGAUGCAGACCUUACCAUUGGAGGAACAUCUUCAUGCCUUCCAACCAGGUGACGGAAUCUGGAUAAAGUCUUUUUCCAGGACCACUCCUCUGGCGCCUUCCUGGUUGGGUCCAUACCAGAUUCUCCUUACCACACAUACAGCUGUCAAGAUCGCUGAGUGGAAUACCUGGAUCCAUCACAGCCACAUCAAAACUACUGUUGUCGACUACAGCCAAGAGGUUGCCAGACCUGUUCCAGCUCUUAAGCUAAGGAGGGACCCAAAAGAAGGCAGAUGGUACAUCGCCAGCCUGUUCCAAGACGCCUGACAUCUGAUGGCCACCCUGCAUGAACUACUCACCCACCCACCCAUGAGGAAACGAAUCCAGCAGAAGACUCGCCUGGAUGUUAAACGGAGUGAGCUAGAGGAAAUUCCCAGCUAAGAAAGAGUGCCUGAAGGAACUAAUGGUUCUCAACUGCCAGUUGUCUCAAUCAGGUAACUUAGGCAGAGUAACUACAUAACUAUAGGCAUCACACAAAUGUAUAUGGAAGGAGGCUUCCUCUUUAGAUGACUGUUCAUGGCAAGGUUUGUUCACUCUUGCUCUUAGCCCCUGGUUAACUUCUGGAGCUACCACCAGGACUGCCAAACCAUCUAUCAUGCUCAUACUUCUGUAUUAUAUCAACUCUAUAUUUACCAUUAACUUUGAAUUACCACUGAAGGUUCAAUAGCAUCUCAGUGGGGCAAAAUGAGUAAUCCUGGAGCAACUACUGCUGUCUUCUUUAAGGUACUACAGGACUCUUUUCUUGCUUCUGCUGCAACAGACUAAAACAGCUACCUUUCUGGAAUUUGUUGCUAGUACAUUGCUAUGGCAGACAGUGAAAUCAUGUAAUAGUACCAAUUAUAUGACUCAUUCUUUCACACCUCAUUUCUCAGCAUCCUCAAACGUAACUUAUGCUAAACAGAGUAAACCAUAGCCUAAGUCCUUGGAAUAAACCAGAUCCUUUGUAGCGCAAUUAACAUAACCUGUGCUCGACCUUCCAGUGCCUUAUUUUUUCACGGGACUAACCAGGUUAAGACGGCAUGGAACAGCUAUUAUUUGUCAUUUUUGUUCCAUAUAUCCACCUGGCUCAAUAAA